UACGAAGGGGGCUAGCGUUGCUCGGAAUCACUGGGCGUAAAGGGUGCGUAGGCGGGUCUUUAAGUCAGGGGUGAAAUCCUGGAGCUCAACUCCAGAACUGCCCUUGAUACUGAGGAUCUUGAGUUCGGGAGAGGUGAGUGGAACUGCGAGUGUAGAGGUGAAAUGCGUAGAUAUCUGGAGGAACACCGGUGGCGAAGGCGGCGUUCUGGACUGCAACUGACACUGAGGAACGAAAGCCAGGGGAGCAAACGGG
rnacentral:rRNA from 1 species